GACGUAGGGCGCAAGCGUUGUCCGGAAUUAUUGGGCGUAAAGAGCUCGUAGGCGGCUUGUUGCGUCGACUGUGAAAACCCGUGGCUCAACCAUGUGGUCUGCAGUCGAUACGGGCAGGCUAGAAUUCGGUAGGGGAGACUGGAAUUCCUGGUGUAGCGGUGAAAUGCGCAGAUAUCAGGAGGAACACCGGUGGCGAAGGCGGCAUCCUGGACCGGCAUUGACGCUGAGGCGCGAAAGCCAGGGGAGCAAACGGG
rnacentral:rRNA from 1 species